CUCAGGAUGAACGCUAGCGGCAAGGCUUAACACGAUGCAAGUCGAGGGGGUAUAGGUUCUUCGGAACUAGAGACCGGCGGCACGGGUGCGUAACGCGUAUGCAAUCACUUUUUACAGAGGGAUAGCCCAGAGAAAUUUGGAUUAAUACCUCAUAGUAUGUGAGAAUCGCAUGAUUUUCACAUUAAAGUUCCAACGGUAAAAGAUGAGCAUGCGUCCCAUUAGCUAGAUGGUAAGGUAACGGCUUACCAUGGCGACGAUGGGUAGGGGUCCUGAGAGGGAGAUCCCCCACACUGGUACUGAGACACGGACCAGACUCCUACGGGAGGCAGCAGUGAGGAAUAUUGGACAAUGGGCGCAAGCCUGAUCCAGCCAUGCCGCGUGCAGGAUGACGGUCCUAUGGAUUGUAAACUGCUUUUGUACAGGAAGAAACACUCCCUCGUGAGGGAGCUUGACGGUACUGUAAGAAUAAGGAUCGGCUAACUCCGUG
rnacentral:rRNA from 1 species